rnacentral:lncRNA from 1 species
GGGGAUCGGCCAAAAGGUGCUACAGUGCGGAAUCGGUCAAGUGGCUUUUACCUCGCUUCAGGGUGAACGCGCCAGGUUCCCAAUCGGCAAUCCUUUAAGAAAUCGGCCGAUCGGGAAGGUGUACUAAGGUAGGCCUGUAUGGGCUUGGAAAGAUGGAGGGAUAAGGUGGAAUUCGGCCCACAAAGCGUGGGGUAAUUAGUUUAGCACGGAUUGUGUUUGUAGAUAUUUGUUUUCUGUUUGAAUUAGAGAUAGAGUCCUAGUCGGUUAAGAAGAUUAUUUGUGCAGGGCUAUAAAUAGCUACCUUUGUAAAUCUGUAAACAGAACAAUCAAUCAAUACAACAAGUUACUUUCUUCUGCACAUCUACUUUUGAGCAGGCGACUUCGCCAUCAAUUUUCUUUCUCACGAGUUCGUACGGGUUGGCAGGGCUGCAUCGUCUUGAUCUCCGGCCGAUUCUGUAAGUUCCGUUUAUC